AAAUGUUAUAAUUUUAGUAGCAAGAAGUUUUAAGGGCGGUGGCUGUCUUGUCCCCUGUGAGGUGAGGUCUAUGGAAACAUGGAACAAUCUGCAGAAAGGUUCCCAGUCAUGAGCGUAUUCGAAGCGCUGUCGCUGAUGAUUGCCUUUGGCACAUUAGUGGCUGUUUUGU
rnacentral:sRNA from 1 species